GUGUCAGCAGCCGCGGUAAUACGGAGGGUGCAAGCGUUAAUCGGAAUUACUGGGCGUAAAGCGUGCGUAGGCGGCUUGUUCAGUCAGAUGUGAAAGCCCUGGGCUUAACCUGGGAACUGCAUUUGAUACUGGCAGGCUAGAGUUUAGUAGAGGGGAGUGGAAUUUCAGGUGUAGCGGUGAAAUGCGUAGAGAUCUGAAGGAACACCAGUGGCGAAGGCGGCUCCCUGGACUAAAACUGACGCUGAGGUACGAAAGCGUGGGUAGCAAACAGGAUUAGAUACCCUCGUAGUCC
rnacentral:rRNA from 1 species